UGGGGAAUAUUGCACAAUGGGCGCAAGCCUGAUGCAGCGACGCCGCGUGCGGGAUGACGGCCUUCGGGUUGUAAACCGCUUUUGACUGGGAGCAAGCCCUUCGGGGUGAGUGUACCUUUCGAAUAAGCACCGGCUAACUACGUGCCAGCAGCCGCGGUAAUACGUAGGGUGCAAGCGUUAUCCGGAAUUAUUGGGCGUAAAGGGCUCGUAGGCGGUUCGUCGCGUCCGGUGUGAAAGUCCAUCGCUUAACGGUGGAUCCGCGCCGGGUACGGGCGGGCUUGAGUGCGGUAGGGGAGACUGGAAUUCCCGGUGUAACGGUGGAAUGUGUAGAUAUCGGGAAGAACACCAAUGGCGAAGGCAGGUCUCUGGGCCGUCACUGACGCUGAGGAGCGAAAGCGUGGGGAGCGAACAGGAUUAGAUACCCUGGUAGUCCACGCCGUAAACGGUGGAUGCUGGAUGUGGGGACCAUUCCACGGUCUCCGUGUCGGAGCCAACGCGUUAAGCAUCCCGCCUGGGGAGUACGGCCGCAAGGUUAAAACUCAAAGAAAUUGACGGGGGCCCGCACAAGCGGCGGAGCAUGCGGAUUAAUUCGAUGCAACGCGAAGAACCUUACCUGGGCUUGACAUGUUCCCGACAGCCGUAGAGAUACGGUCUCCCUUCGGGGCGGGUUCACAGGUGGUGCAUGGUCGUCGUCAGCUCGUGUCGUGAGAUGUUGGGUUAAGUCCCGCAACGAGCGCAACCCUCGCCCUGUGUUGCCAGCACGUCGUGGUGGGAACUCACGGGGGACCGCCGGGGUCAACUCGGAGGAAGGUGGGGAUGACGUCAGAUCAUCAUGCCCCUUACGUCCAGGGCUUCACGCAUGCUACAAUGGCCGGUACAACGAGAUGCGACGCCGCGAGGUGGAGCGGAUCCCUUAAAACCGGUCUCAGUUCGGAUUGGAGUCUGCAACCCGACUCCAUGAAGGCGGAGUCGCUAGUAAUCGCGGAUCAGCAACGCCGCGGUGAAUGCGUUCCC
rnacentral:rRNA from 1 species